rnacentral:misc_RNA from 1 species
GUAUCAUCACAGGUCGUUCAGUUUUAGCUUCGUCUUCUGCAGAAUAUGAUAACUUGAAACGAAGAGGAAGCUGAAAGUCCAGCUGCAGAGUUGCACACUGAAAUUUCCUCUUCAACGCAUCGAAGACGCCUAUAUCAAUCUUUGGCCCAUAGAAUGCACCAUCCCCUUCAUUAAUCUUCCAUGGUCUCCCAAAUUCAUUCAGAGCAUCAGAGAGAUUAGCCUCAGCUUUAUUCCAUGUGUCUACAUCUCCCAAGUACUUCUCUGGACGCGUUGAUAACUC